ACAGCAAGUUAAGAUUUUGACUUCGUUAAUGGAAUAAUGUUACAACUUAAAAGACAUUCCCACAGACGCUUUGUUUCACAGUCAGUCAACGCCUGCCCUCUGAUGGACAAAACGAGAACUGCGGGCAGUAUAUUUUUUGUGGCCAGGAGAUUACAUACAAGCUCUGCGCUGCUCUCGACCCAUAUGAUAUACGUCACCACACCCGCACUUGGAACUCGGCACAGAGACGGCGAUCUCUCUGCCCCACUUCACCGCGUUUUCCAUGGGGAGGAUAAAAGCAUCGAAAGAGGUCCCAUGAGCUCUACCGGAAGGGGCGUGACUUCGCCACUCUAUUGAACUAGAUGCCCUACGGCGGCGUCUAGAACGUCACCAUAGGCCGCCAUCUUACCACAGCAGCUGAGUGCAGCAGGAAGCUCUUCAUCUUCCACGUCCCAUGAGCUCUACCGGAAGGGGCGUUACUUCGCCACUCCAUUGGAAACCUUCUCAUACACACAAUGGUAGUAGCAGUUUAAUAGUUAUAGAACGUUAAACGAUAAACAAGUGUCCCUUUAUUGAGCUUCCGACAGUAAAAAAAAAAGGAAAACUGCAGAACUCGCUGUGCAGCUCUUUGGCGCUCCCUGGUGGCGCCCCCUGCUGGUGUCGCCCCCUGCUGGCGGUCUCAGCGCACUGCCGUCAAGUUUCAUGAAAGAACGCGUCAAGGUAACAGUUGACGUCUCUGAGUUCGAGGCAUCGACGGCGUUCAAGCCCACCCCAGCCUACACCGUGAAAACAGAGGCACAACUGGCCUUUCUAGAAGGGUGGUGUUGUC
ensembl:lncRNA